GAUGCAGGGUUCCAAUUAAUUAUUUUCCUCCUCACUUCCGGUUUUCAAACUUCCAGAACCAAACUGAGAACAAACACUAUCAGGGGCCCAAUGGCUUGUGGGGAAGAAGACAUCCUUACACAUUCCUGUAGAGGUUCCGGCUCUUUUUGGAAGCACUUUGGCAAUAUCUGUCAACAUCAAAAUAUCUCUGUGUAUACACACCCAUACACUCUUCUGGCUCAACAAUCCUACUUUGAGGCACUAUUCUAUAAAAUAAAAGCACCAACGUAUAAACAUG